GGCACAAUCAAUGGGGCACAACUAAUGGGGCACAAUUAAUGGGGAAUCUAUCAAUCAAUGGGGGCACCAUUAAUGGGGGCACAAUUAAUGGGAAAUCUAUCAGUGGGGAAUCUAUCAAUCAAUGGAGCACAACUAAUGGGGGCACAAUCAAUGGGGCACAAUCAAUGGGGCACAACUAAUGGGGGCACAAUCAAUGGGGAAUCUAUUAAUCAAUGGGGGCACAACUAAUGGGGGCACAAUUAAUGGGGAAUCAAUCAAUGGGGCCAACA
ensembl:lncRNA